GAGAUCUGUGUCUCACUGGUAGAGCAUCUGCUUGGCAGGCAGAAAGGCCUAGGUUCAGUCCCUGGAAUCUGCA
rnacentral:tRNA from 1 species